AUAUGAGGGCAAUCUGGCUGUGACAUCUGUCAUGCCACUGAUUGCUAGAGUAGAUUUGGCUGAUCUAGUUGGCUAGCAGUGUGUCCCCAUCCUCCCUCACCACUAAGAGGACAGCUUUCUUGAACAGACUGAUGGUCAUUGCUAGAGGGUAUAUGAAUAGCUGCAAUCUCCUUCUAUAAUCUCCAAUCAAGCUCUCAAGGUCUAUUUCUGUAAAUACUGGUGCACAGUUUUCAGUGUAGAAGUCUUUCACUUCCUUGUUAAGUUUAUUCCUAGAUAGUUAAUUGUCUUU
rnacentral:snRNA from 1 species